rnacentral:rRNA from 1 species
UACGGAGGGUGCAAGCGUUAUCCGGAUUUACUGGGUUUAAAGGGUGCGUAGGUGGAUUAGUAAGUCAGUGGUGAAAUCUCCGGGCUUAACCCGGAAACUGCCAUUGAUACUAUUAGUCUUGAAUAUCCUGGAGGUGAGCGGAAUAUGUCAUGUAGCGGUGAAAAUGCUUAGAUAUGACAUAGAACACCAAUUGCGAAGGCAGCUCACUACGGGAUUAUUGACACUGAGGCACGAAAGCGUGGGGAUCAAACAGG